GAAUCUGGAAGGAGAGAUACUUGUGUAUCUUGCGUUUUCUCACUUUUGUUCAGUUCUUUUUUGGUUCCACCAGAUUGCUUCUUCUUCUUCUUCUUGUUUGGAAU
rnacentral:ribozyme from 17 species